rnacentral:lncRNA from 1 species
CCAGUAAGUAUCUGUGGUCAGAUAUGAAUUUAUGAAGUCCUGACUCCAGACCUGGCACACUGUCCACUGUGUCACCUAGCUGUUCCCUCCGUCCAUCAGGUAUAUCACAGCACAAAACAUGCUCCAUGAUCUGGGGGGCCUGAGGUCUCCACUAUGGGUGAGAUGACUGGUUCUUACAGAAUAUUUGGUGAAUCAAAUUUUAUCUGAGGAUUAACAGUAUAUACAAUAUGGCAGAAAUCUCCGAGCUUGAACUGUAGAUACUGCUCAGGCACUACAUGUCUAGCAUUGAGGUAACUUCAAUGGGAGAUAAGAUAAGGUAAUGAUACCAUCUGGCUCAGGAGACAAGACAAGACAGGACAAGACAGAUGGUGUGGUAUAGACUAUUAGUCUAUCUGGAGAGAAAUGACAUGAUAUCAUGCAAAAUGUAAUGGGCUAAACCUGACCCCAAAAAAGAACUCUGAGAAGGUCCUACCCUCCUUUACCUACAGAAAUGGGGGAUAAAGAGUAUAGAAAACUACAGAGAAUGUCAGACUUUACUAAUUCAGAUUAACUGUUGCUUUUUGUUAUUUCUUAUUCUGUUUGAGCACGCCCAGAUUACUUAAAAUGGAGGUACCAUUUUCUGGGAGAAGGCAUUCUGCAUUCUAUUAUGUAGAUAGGAGUAAAUAGUUUCUUGAUCCCUGGAAUAUCCUAGAUAAAAAACCAAACCAAAAAAAAAAACAUGACACUGGAACACAUACAUUCUCUCUCUUUCCCACAAAUCCAGAGGUCUUACCUUCCCAUAGAUCAGGCAACAAGAAUUGAGGUAGAGAAGAAGCUUUCUCUGUGGCCCCAAGAAAUGGGUGUGGGAUUGGAAUUUGUCUGUUUGCUUGUUUUGUCCUGUUUGUUCUUUUCCCUCCUAGGGGUAAGAUGCAGAAUUCCCACUGGCCUUUGGAGUCUGAACAAUGAUGAUCUUGGAAGCAAGAUUCCUGGCUGGAUAGACAGCCAACCUGUCCAGCUGGGAUGUUCUGAGAAGCUGGGGUGCCAGAGAUUUAAUGCCAAGGUGGAAAUCUGAUCAUGAAAAUGGUCAGUAGGAGUACAGGUUGAAAAUCCUCAGAGAUUUGGUGGAGAAUAGCAGCUAACUACCUGGCAUACAUCACGGUAAAGCAUACUGAAUUUCCAGCUCACAGGAAAUAAAUAACCAGUGACCUAAAGCA